AGUGAAGCGGGAUGAGCUCAAAUUUAAAAUCUGGCUGGUUUACUAGUCCGAAUUGUAGUUUAAAGAAGCGUUUUCGGUGGCAGCCUGGGUAUAAAUCCUUUGGAACAGGGUAUCAUAGAGGGUGAGAAUCCCGUCUUUGACUCAGUGCAUGCUACUAUGUGAUACGUUUUCAAAGAGUCGAGUUGUUUGGGAAUGCAGCUCAAAAUGGGUGGUAAAUUUCAUCUAAAGCUAAAUAUUGGCGAGAGACCGAUAGCGAACAAGUACCGUGAGGGAAAGAUGAAAAGAACUUUGAAAAGAGAGUUAAACAGUGCGUGAAAUUGUUGAAAGGGAAACGCUUGACACCAGUCAUGCGAGCGGAAAAUCAGUCUUUUGCGGUGGGGAGAUGUGUGGGUUCGGACCGCAAGGCCGGCCUGCGCUUCAUCUCUGCCGUAAGUGAUGCACUUUUUCGUUUGCAGGCCAACAUCAGUUUCUUCUGCUGGACAAAACUCUUGAGAAGGUAGCAGCUUAGGCUGUGUUAUAGCUCUUGAGCGAUACAGUGGAGGAGACUGAGGUUUUCGCAGCGCGUGCUCUCGGGCAAGGCUGAUUGGGUGCUAUGGGAUCGUUCGGUGUACAAUGCAUGCAUUUUGCGCCGUGUCUUUUCUAUACUCGCUCAACUCGGCU
rnacentral:rRNA from 1 species